rnacentral:rRNA from 1 species
UACGAAGGGGGCUAGCGUUGUUCGGAAUCACUGGGCGUAAAGGGCGCGUAGGCGGCCGAUCAAGUCGGGGGUGAAAGCCUGUGGCUCAACCACAGAAUUGCCUUCGAUACUGUUUGGCUUGAGACCGGAAGAGGUUAGUGGAACUGCGAGUGUAGAGGUGAAAUUCGUAGAUAUUCGCAAGAACACCAGUGGCGAAGGCGGCUCGACUG